AGCUGCCGAGUGUUCCAGCCAAGGACUCCAUGUGACCUUCCUCUGAGCCUGGGGGAGGGUGCCGAGGGGAGGGGAGGGGGCAGGAGAGAGAGGAGGCGCAGGGAGGGGGCCUCCAGGAUCUGUCCCCAGCGCAGGUUCUCAGCUGAGCCAGGCAGACCGCAGAUCAUCUUUUAUGACCCAGAAGGCAGAAGCAGGCGUCUGAGUCCAGCUCUGCUCGGCUGUAUCGCUGUUAAUCUUCCCAGUAGAAACCCUCGCAGGAAAGAGCGACCGGUGGGAACCGCUGACGUCAGCAGAAAGGAGAAAGUGAACACGCGUGGUAGGAACCUCAGAACACGUGCCCUGCUUUGGGUUCCUGGCCGACGGCAGCUUAUGGGCCCGGAAAACUCCCAGGCCUUCUAAGGGGUGGAGGCUAGACCAGUGGGUAGAGACAGGAGUAUUAUCUGAUGCAUUACGUUGUCUAUUGUAACCUGUACGGAGGUUGUUCCAGCCUCCGUACCUUUAUCUCUUUUUAAAGAUUCAUUUGUUGGAUCAGACACUGUGGUGUGGUGAGUAAAGCCGCCACCUACAAUGCUGGCAUCCCCUGUGGGUGCUGCUUGGAGUCCUGGCUGCUCCACUUCCAAUCCAACUCCCUGCUGAUGGUCUGGGAAAGCAGUGGGAGAUGGCCCGAGUGCCUGGGCCCCUGCACCCAUGUGGGAGACCCAGAUGAAAUGCCUGGCACCUGACUCCCGGUUUUGGUCUGGCUCAGCCUUGGCCGUUGUGGCUACUUGGGGAGUGAACCAGAGGAUGAAGUCUCUCUCUCUCUCUCUCUCUCUCUCUUUCCUUCCUUCUAUAUAACUCUGCCUUUCAAAUGAAGAGAUCUUAUUUAUUUGAAAGACAGAGCAACAAAGACAAAGAUCUUCCAUCUGCUGGCUCACUGACCAAAUAGUUGCAACACUUGCUGCUUGGCCAGGCCAAAACUAGGAGCCCAGAACUCCAUCCGGGUCUCCCACCUGAGUGACUGGAGCCCAGGGACCUGGGCCAUCUUCCACGGUUUCCCCAGAUGCAUCAGCUGGGAGCUGGACCAGAAGCAGAGCAGCUGGG
rnacentral:lncRNA from 1 species